rnacentral:rRNA from 1 species
AGCGUAGGCGGAUAGUUUAGUCAGAGGUGAAAGCCCAGGGCUCAACCUUGGAAAUGCCUUUGAUACUGGCUAUCUUGAGUAUGGGAGAGGUAAGCGGAAUUCCGAGUGUAGAGGUGAAAUUCGUAGAUAUUCGGAAGAACACCGGUGGCGAAGGCGGCUUACUGGCCCAUUACUGACGCUGAGGCUCGAAAGCGUGGGGAGCAGACA